GGUUAAGCGACUAAGCGUACACGGUGGAUGCCCUGGCAGUCAGAGGCGAUGAAGGACGUGCUAAUCUGCGAUAAGCGUCGGUAAGGUGAUAUGAACCGUUAUAACCGGCGAUUUCCGAAUGGGGAAACCCAGUGUGUUUCGACACACUAUCAUUAACUGAAUCCAUAGGUUAAUGAGGCGAACCGGGGGAACUGAAACAUCUAAGUACCCCGAGGAAAAGAAAUCAACCGAGAUUCCCCCAGUAGCGGCGAGCGAACGGGGAGCAGNNNNNNNNNNNNNNNNNNNNNNNNNNNNNNNUGUGAGCUCGAUGAGUAGGGCGGGACACGUGGUAUCCUGUCUGAAUAUGGGGGGACCAUCCUCCAAGGCUAAAUACUCCUGACUGACCGAUAGUGAACCAGUACCGUGAGGGAAAGGCGAAAAGAACCCCGGCGAGGGGAGUGAAAAAGAACCUGAAACCGUGUACGUACAAGCAGUGGGAGCACGCUUAGGCGUGUGACUGCGUACCUUUUGUAUAAUGGGUCAGCGACUUAUAUUCUGUAGCAAGGUUAACCGAAUAGGGGAGCCGAAGGGAAACCGAGUCUUAACUGGGCGUUAAGUUGCAGGGUAUAGACCCGAAACCCGGUGAUCUAGCCAUGGGCAGGUUGAAGGUUGGGUAACACUAACUGGAGGACCGAACCGACUAAUGUUGAAAAAUUAGCGGAUGACUUGUGGCUGGGGGUGAAAGGCCAAUCAAACCGGGAGAUAGCUGGUUCUCCCCGAAAGCUAUUUAGGUAGCGCCUCGUGAAUUCAUCUCCGGGGGUAGAGCACUGUUUCGGCAAGGGGGUCAUCCCGACUUACCAACCCGAUGCAAACUGCGAAUACCGGAGAAUGUUAUCACGGGAGACACACGGCGGGUGCUAACGUCCGUCGUGAAGAGGGAAACAACCCAGACCGCCAGCUAAGGUCCCAAAGUCAUGGUUAAGUGGGAAACGAUGUGGGAAGGCCCAGACAGCCAGGAUGUUGGCUUAGAAGCAGCCAUCAUUUAAAGAAAGCGUAAUAGCUCACUGGUCGAGUCGGCCUGCGCGGAAGAUGUAACGGGGCUAAACCAUGCACCGAAGCUGCGGCAGCGACGCUUAUGCGUUGUUGGGUAGGGGAGCGUUCUGUAAGCCUGUGAAGGUGUGCUGUGAGGCAUGCUGGAGGUAUCAGAAGUGCGAAUGCUGACAUAAGUAACGAUAAAGCGGGUGAAAAGCCCGCUCGCCGGAAGACCAAGGGUUCCUGUCCAACGUUAAUCGGGGCAGGGUGAGUCGACCCCUAAGGCGAGGCCGAAAGGCGUAGUCGAUGGGAAACAGGUUAAUAUUCCUGUACUUGGUGUUACUGCGAAGGGGGGACGGAGAAGGCUAUGUUGGCCGGGCGACGGUUGUCCCGGUUUAAGCGUGUAGGCUGGUUUUCCAGGCAAAUCCGGAAAAUCAAGGCUGAGGCGUGAUGACGAGGCACUACGGUGCUGAAGCAACAAAUGCCCUGCUUCCAGGAAAAGCCUCUAAGCAUCAGGUAACAUCAAAUCGUACCCCAAACCGACACAGGUGGUCAGGUAGAGAAUACCAAGGCGCUUGAGAGAACUCGGGUGAAGGAACUAGGCAAAAUGGUGCCGUAACUUCGGGAGAAGGCACGCUGAUAUGUAGGUGAAGUCCCUCGCGGAUGGAGCUGAAAUCAGUCGAAGAUACCAGCUGGCUGCAACUGUUUAUUAAAAACACAGCACUGUGCAAACACGAAAGUGGACGUAUACGGUGUGACGCCUGCCCGGUGCCGGAAGGUUAAUUGAUGGGGUUAGCCGCAAGGCGAAGCUCUUGAUCGAAGCCCCGGUAAACGGCGGCCGUAACUAUAACGGUCCUAAGGUAGCGAAAUUCCUUGUCGGGUAAGUUCCGACCUGCACGAAUGGCGUAAUGAUGGCCAGGCUGUCUCCACCCGAGACUCAGUGAAAUUGAACUCGCUGUGAAGAUGCAGUGUACCCGCGGCAAGACGGAAAGACCCCGUGAACCUUUACUAUAGCUUGACACUGAACAUUGAGCCUUGAUGUGUAGGAUAGGUGGGAGGCUUAGAAGUGUGGACGCCAGUCUGCAUGGAGCCGACCUUGAAAUACCACCCUUUAAUGUUUGAUGUUCUAACGUUGACCCGUAAUCCGGGUUGCGGACAGUGUCUGGUGGGUAGUUUGACUGGGGCGGUCUCCUCCUAAAGAGUAACGGAGGAGCACGAAGGUUGGCUAAUCCUGGUCGGACAUCAGGAGGUUAGUGCAAUGGCAUAAGCCAGCUUGACUGCGAGCGUGACGGCGCGAGCAGGUGCGAAAGCAGGUCAUAGUGAUCCGGUGGUUCUGAAUGGAAGGGCCAUCGCUCAACGGAUAAAAGGUACUCCGGGGAUAACAGGCUGAUACCGCCCAAGAGUUCAUAUCGACGGCGGUGUUUGGCACCUCGAUGUCGGCUCAUCACAUCCUGGGGCUGAAGUAGGUCCCAAGGGUAUGGCUGUUCGCCAUUUAAAGUGGUACGCGAGCUGGGUUUAGAACGUCGUGAGACAGUUCGGUCCCUAUCUGCCGUGGGCGCUGGAGAACUGAGGGGGGCUGCUCCUAGUACGAGAGGACCGGAGUGGACGCAUCACUGGUGUUCGGGUUGUCAUGCCAAUGGCACUGCCCGGUAGCUAAAUGCGGAAGAGAUAAGUGCUGAAAGCAUCUAAGCACGAAACUUGCCCCGAGAUGAGAACUCCCUGACACCUUGAGAGUCCUGAAGGACCGUUGAAGACGACGACGUUGAUAGGCCGGGUGUGUAAGCGCAGCGAUGCGUUGAGCUAACCGGUACUAAUGAACC
rnacentral:rRNA from 1 species